rnacentral:rRNA from 1 species
ACCCGGGUUGCGGACAGUGUCUGGUGGGUAGUUUGACUGGGGCGGUCUCCUCCUAAAGAGUAACGGAGGAGCACGAAGGUUGGCUAAUCCUGGUCGGACAUCAGGAGGUUAGUGCAAUGGCAUAAGCCAGCUUGACUGCGAGCGUGACGGCGCGAGCAGGUGCGAAAGCAGGUCAUAGUGAUCCGGUGGUUCUGAAUGGAAGGGCCAUCGCUCAACGGAUAAAAGGUACUCCGGGGAUAACAGGCUGAUACCGCCCAAGAGUUCAUAUCGACGGCGGUGUUUGGCACCUCGAUGUCGGCUCAUCACAUCCUGGGGCUGAAGUAGGUCCCAAGGGUAUGGCUGUUCGCCAUUUAAAGUGGUACGCGAGCUGGGUUUAGAACGUCGUGAGACAGUUCGGUCCCUAUCUGCCGUGG